GACGAACGCUGGCGGCGUGCUUAACACAUGCAAGUCGAACGGAAAGGCCCUGCUUUUGUGGGGUGCUCGAGUGGCGAACGGGUGAGUAACACGUGAGUAACCUGCCCUUGACUUUGGGAUAACUUCAGGAAACUGGGGCUAAUACCGGAUAGGAGCUCCUGCUGCAUGGUGGGGGUUGGAAAGUUUCGGCGGUUGGGGAUGGACUCGCGGCUUAUCAGCUUGUUGGUGGGGUAGUGGCUUACCAAGGCUUUGACGGGUAGCCGGCCUGAGAGGGUGACCGGCCACAUUGGGACUGAGAUACGGCCCAGACUCCUACGGGAGGCAGCAGUGGGGAAUAUUGCACAAUGGGCGGAAGCCUGAUGCAGCAACGCCGCGUGCGGGAUGACGGCCUUCGGGUUGUAAACCGCUUUCGCCUGUGACGAAGCGUGAGUGACGGUAAUGGGUAAAGAAGCACCGGCUAACUACGUGCCAGCAGCCGCGGUGAUACGUAGGGUGCGAGCGUUGUCCGGAUUUAUUGGGCGUAAAGGGCUCGUAGGUGAUUGAUCGCGUCGGAAGUGUAAUCUUGGGGCUUAACCCUGAGCGUGCUUUCGAUACGGGUUGACUUGAGGAAGGUAGGGGAGAAUGGAAUUCCUGGUGGAGCGGUGGAAUGCGCAGAUAUCAGGAGGAACACCAGUGGCGAAGGCGGUUCUCUGGGCCUUUCCUGACGCUGAGGAGCGAAAGCGUGGGGAGCGAACAGGCUUAGAUACCCUGGUAGUCCACGCUGUAAACGGUGGGUACUAGGUGUGGGGUCCAUUCCACGGGUUCCGUGCCGUAGCUAACGCUUUAAGUACCCCGCCUGGGGAGUACGGCCGCAAGGCUAAAACUCAAAGGAAUUGACGGGGCCCCGCACAAGCGGCGGAGCAUGCGGAUUAAUUCGAUGCAACGCGUAGAACCUUACCUGGGUUUGACAUGGAUCGGGAGUGCUCAGAGAUGGGUGUGCCUCUUUUGGGGUCGGUUCACAGGUGGUGCAUGGCUGUCGUCAGCUCGUGUCGUGAGAUGUUGGGUUAAGUCCCGCAACGAGCGCAACCCUUGUUCACUGUUGCCAGCACGUUAUGGUGGGGACUCAGUGGAGACCGCCGGGGUCAACUCGGAGGAAGGUGGGGAUGACGUCAAGUCAUCAUGCCCCUUAUGUCCAGGGCUUCACGCAUGCUACAAUGGCUGGUACAGAGAGUGGCGAGCCUGUGAGGGUGAGCGAAUCUCGGAAAGCCGGUUUCAGUUCGGAUUGGGGUCUGCAACUCGACCUCAUGAAGUCGGAGUCGCUAGUAAUCGCAGAUCAGCAACGCUGCGGUGAAUACGUUCCCGGG
rnacentral:rRNA from 1 species